AGGAACUACCGCAGUGCCGGGGCCAGCUCUGGAGCCCUGGAUUCAGCCCCCGCAGUAACUCCGGAGCUCUCCGUCUGCAGGGCCUGGAGGCUCCGGGGCGGG
rnacentral:pre_miRNA from 1 species